rnacentral:lncRNA from 1 species
AGCAGGCUGUAGCUCAUAGUUUUAGUCUUUUCCUGCAGGUUAUAAAGCAAACAAACUGGCUGCCUCCAUUCCUGAAAUUGCAGCAACAAGACCAGAGAGUGACACAAGGUUUUCCUGGAUUGUUUCCCUCUCCAUCUACAGCUGUUACCUGACUUCUCUCCAUUCACAAUGAAAUGACUUCAGAAAACAAGGUCUCCACUGUUGUAACUGGAGGAAUAGAAAAUGUUGUCUUCGCUUUUAAUAAUUUGUCUAUGGGAGAAGUACUUUUUCUAAAGCUGUUGGUAACUGGGGGAAGCUAUGACUACAAAGAAAUAUUUUUGAGUAGAGGCCAUUACAUGAGCUCUUCCCUGCUUGUUUUCAUGCCUUGUCCUACUGGAUUGUCUUUCUUUCAAUUUUUGCAGCAAUUCCUGUUCUCCAGUUGCCUCCCUGUCCCUCUUUGUGGACUCUGAGCUGCAGAACCAUGCCUGGUGAGAGAGCAUGUGUGACAGGCAGCACACCGGGCUGGGGACUAUUAGGCAUCACCAGAACAAUCUCUCAAACUUAAUCUUGUGGUGAAAAUCUUUGCAGAAGAUACAAAUAUUCAACUGUUGGUAAUUUUCCAGGAUAGAAACACAAAAUUUUCCCAAGGUGGAAACAUAAAAUCCUGGCCUUUUUUUUUGGCUUCUUGGUUGAUCCAUAGAAGAAUUCACACCCUGGGAAAAUGUUUUCUGUGUACAUUGUAAAAGCACAUUCCUGAAUCAUGGCACCAGGCUUGCUGAAUGAAUAGAAUAGGUGGAAUAUUGUUGUGUGAAAUAAAUUAGACUUUUAAAAACA